UACAGAGGGUGCAAGCGUUAUCCGGAUUCACUGGGUUUAAAGGGUGCGUAGGUGGGCUGGUAAGUCAGUGGUGAAAUCUCCAGGCUUAACUUGGAAACUGCCAUUGAUACUAUUAGUCUUGAAUACCGUGGAGGUCAGCGGAAUAUGUCAUGUAGCGGUGAAAUGCUUAGAUAUGACAUAGAACACCAAUUGCGAAGGCAGCUGGCUACACGAAUAUUGACACUGAUGCACGAAAGCGUGGGGAUCAAACAGG
rnacentral:rRNA from 1 species